GGGGAUGCUGGAACCUGCGGUUGAGUGAGAAACCGGCGCCACCGCCUGCGUCUUGGUCUCGGGCUGGUGGCCAGCGGGGUCUGGGCGUGGUUUUACCCAGCUCCUUUGCGAAGCUGCUGUCCUUUCCUCAACGUUACCACCCGGCUGGGCAGCCUACCCUCGCAGCAACAGGUGUGCACCUUCCAAGCUUGCAACAGACCACAUUCAGAAGCUUGAUUUCUUGUUGUUCUGGGAAUAUCUGGAUCAGAGGUAACAUGGUUCACUAGGACUCCUCAGCUUCACCCAGUGUCCAUUUCACCUCCCCCGGCCUUCCAAUGUCUCUUCUUGCAGAUUUCUCCAAGCCACUCUCCCCGUCAUCUCCUCCACCCCCAGGACCCAACUCCUGCCCCUCCCACCCUAGCCCCUGUUCUCCCUGCCCACCUCCUACCCCACUGGAGUGGCCUUUCAUCAAACCUAAACCAAAGAAACCAACAGACCUUGCUGUCACCACUACUCCGGGACCUGG
rnacentral:lncRNA from 1 species